GGAUCAUAGACUUGCCAACUCUAAAAACUGCAGCCUUAAAUGGAAGAUCCUACCCCAAAACUGUGUCUGCUGAAAGCAAUAUAAAGAAUCUUCACUGCAUUAAGAAGCAUGCUCAGGAUGUGUCUGGCACCUUGUAAAUGAAGUUAGAUGCAGCAUCUUGGGUGGAUAAAGGCUAAGUUUCGGUGGCAUGUUUGUUCUGGGAGUGUUCCAUCAGAUACCGCACCUAUGUCCCCACCCUUCUGUGCUUGGAGCCCAAAUAAACUUAAAGUAGGUCUGUGCAGCAGCUGGCUGUUCUCUGCUGUUAGAUACAAGUGAAAUGGCUACACCUCCAGAUUUGUGCCCCGCUGCCUAUUGUCACCAUUCAGAACCAACUGACCUCUUGAAAACACAAGUGCCAUUUAAUUUACUGUAAAGUUAUGGAAACUUGAGAACCUGAUGUGAUUUCACACCACUGAAAUAGGCAUAGAUGUGUCAACUUUUGUCCUUUGCCUCAGAAAUCCUGUACUUGGUGAACCUGCACUCUUUGUGUAUGCCCUAGAGCCUGCCUUGCAGA